rnacentral:ribozyme from 14 species
UGAUUCUAUUCUUCUUGUGGUUCUCCUGAUGAUAUUUGUUUUCUUGCUGUUUGUUAUUUCUUUCUCCUGCUUCGUAUACAUGUUUUGAUAUCUGCUGAUGAAGGAGGUAUAUUUUUUUUCCGUGUGCUGUACAUAGCAGCAGCAGCUAUGUUUCAUUCAUUCCCAUACCUAAGACGACCUAAAACGAAAGAUAACACAAAUGAAA